rnacentral:rRNA from 1 species
UACGUAGGGGGCAAGCGUUGUCCGGAAUCAUUGGGCGUAAAGCGCGUGUAGGCGGCCCGGUAAGUCCGCUGUGAAAGUCGGGGGCUCAACCCUCGAAUGCCGGUGGAUACUGUCGGGCUAGAGUGCGGGAGAGGCGAGUGGAAUUCCUGGUGUAGCGGUGAAAUGCGCAGAUAUCAGGAGGUACACCAAUUGCGAAGGCAGCUCGCUGGAACGUAACUGACGCUGAGACGCGAAAGCGUGGGGAGCAAACAGG